CACGUAGGGCGCAAGCGUUGUCCGGAAUUAUUGGGCGUAAAGAGCUCGUAGGCGGACUGUCACGUCUGCUGUGAAAAGCUGGGGCUUAACCCUGGCCUUGCAGUGGAUACGGGCAGACUAGAGGUAGGUAGGGGAGAAUGGAAUUCCUGGUGUAGCGGUGGAAUGCGCAGAUAUCAGGAGGAACACCGAUGGCGAAGGCAGAUCUCUGGGCCGUAACUGACGCUGAGGAGCGAAAGCAUGGGGAGCGAACAGG
rnacentral:rRNA from 1 species